rnacentral:rRNA from 1 species
GCUAAGAAUAUUGCACAAUGGACGAAAGUCUGAUGCAGCGACACCGCGUGAAGGAUGAAGGCCCUAGGGUUGUAAACUUCUUUUAUUAGGGAAUAGCAAGGAAGGUACCUAAUGAAUAAGCAACGGCUAACUACGUGCCAGCAGCCGCGGUAAUACGUAGGUUGCAAACGUUGUCCGGAAUCACUGGGCGUAAAGGGUCCGUAGGCGGUUUGAUAAGUCUCAUAUGAAAGCUUCAAGCUCAACUUGGAGAUGUUGUGAGAUACUGUCAGACUAGAGACUGUUAGAGGUAAGUGGAAUUCCAGGUGUAGUGGUGAAAUGCGUAGAUAUCUGGAGGAACACCAGUGGCGAAAGCGACUUACUGGGACAGUUCUGACGCUAAGGGACGAAAGCGUGGGGAGCGAACCGGAUUAGAUACCCGGGUAGUCCACGCUGUAAACGAUGAUUGCUAGGUUUUCGGGGCAUCGACCCCUCGUGAGCCGAAGUUAACGCGUUAAGCAAUCCGCCUGAGUAGUACGGCCGCAAGGCUAAAACUCAAAGAAAUUGACGGGGGACCGCACAAGCAGCGGAGCGUGUGGUUUAAUUCGAUGGUAAGCGAAGAACCUUACCAGGGUUUGACAUGUAAGUAGUACUGAACCGAAAGGGGAUGGACCCGCAAGGGAGCUUACACAGGUGUUGCAUGGUUGUCGUCAGCUCGUGCCGUGAGGUGUUGGGUUAAGUCCCGCAA